UACGUAGGGCGCAAGCGUUAUCCGGAAUUACUGGGCGUAAAGCGCGUGUAGGCGGCCGUGCAAGUCGGGUGUGAAAGCCCUGAGCUCAACUCAGGAAGUGCAUUCGAUACUGCGCGGCUGGAGUCCCGGAGAGGGUGGUGGAAUUCUCGGUGUAGAGGUGAAAUUCGUAGAUAUCGAGAGGAACACCUGUGGCGAAGGCGGCCACCUGGACGGCGACUGACGCUGAGACGCGAAAGCGUGGGGAGCAAACAGG
rnacentral:rRNA from 1 species